CUUUCACUAUUAGGCCUACUCCGCUUGCUGUGACUUGGGUCUCGUGAUCGUGACGUCCACAUGUGGAUCAUGCAAUUCCUGCCAGAGGAGCGACAGGCCUGAGUCGGAGCACUUCGUUGAUGAGCGCACUUAGGACGGGAAGUUUGUGCCUCUCGCUAUAUUUGGGAUAGUGACCCUCUGGUACACUGCACAGCUCCUCAUACACCUGAUUCUGGACCUGAUGGGUACAGCAGAGGAGCGAAGAUGCAUCCCUUGCUUUUCAAUCACCCCGUGCAAGGAAUCAUGGCAGCAUCGCAGCAAAGCGCCAUGGACCAGGCGGCGAUGGGCUCGCCACUCAUCGUUGUAGUCUCCCAGAGAAAUGGAGCGCCCUCCACCAGACACGACAUCUCCUGGGAAAGAGGAUCCUCAUCAAAAAGUGAUGGGAUCCUUCUUGGCCCAUGUACCACAUCGCUCCAAAGUUCCAUGAUCCAGCCAUUUUCUCUACUGCUUGUCUUCAGUCAGGUCACUGGUGGACCCCAUUUGUUUUUGGGCGAGAGGUGAGGUACGCCUUAGAUUGUUUGCCAGUCAAUCACAGGGCUCAUAUAAACAAGUACAGUACUCGCGUAAACAUUCACACAAAUGGACUACGGUCUUCAAUGAUGCUGGAUUUUGAAAG